rnacentral:lncRNA from 1 species
CCCAGCUCCCCCGCCCGCCCUGCACUCAUGCACGCUGUCUUCAGCUGUAUGUUAUCUCAAAUAAUUACCCUCGCUUCUGGCUGUCCCUGGCGACUUCUGCUGCUAAAAAAGCUACUCAUUGUCGGAGACUGAAGAGGGAUUUCCAGCCUGCUUCUUGUGGCCGGGCAACGGCUCUUAAUUAACCACUCAGGUAUUGUGGGAGCUCCCAGCCCGGCUCGCUUCCAUAUGGCGCGAACAUGUCCGCAGUGAUAAGCACGGGAGGAAAUACUGUAUCAAAAAGGAGCUCACACAACCGAAAGCUUGUGCAAAUUAUUUUUAAUGAUUCUUCUCUGAGAUACCAGCUGAGGCUAUAAAAAGGAGGCUGCUGUGUUUAUUUUGUCUACAGACUGCCCAAUGGGAUGAAGUUUCCAGUGUGAUGUCAUUGGAAACAUUGCUCCUCAGAGCAGUGAAAUUAGCCCGAAAGAAGAGGAACAUGGAGCCUCACUUUCCAAUCAGAGUCAGGCUGACAAAUACUGACUACACAGGAGACGCUUCCCCAAGGGCAGCGAGUACUUCAUUUCCUUCAUAUAAACAAACACAGGCCUUUUCUCAAAACAAGGUGGCAGUGCUCACGUACAAGCCAAAUGGUGAGGUCACUGCCUGUGAGGCCCUGCCAGGCAGCGGAGGGGACCCGCUAGGUAAGAACAACUUCCAAGGGGAGCAUUGUGAUCGGAGGGUUCCCUUGGCAACUCCUCUUUUGGUAAGUCCAUGAAGGUUAAAUGGACUUAGAGAGGCAGACAGGAGUAACUGAAGGUGACCUCCCCACACACCCCAGAGUUUUGAACUAUUUGCCAGAGACAGAGUCAGCUAGACUCUUCUUCGGUGGGAUAUUCUCUGAAGAUAGACACAGCAGGGGCACUCAUUUAAGCACGCUCUAAAAUGAUGACUCAGCAAACAAAGGCAGGUUGGGUAAAUUGCUUGCCUGCUCUGCACACUGAACUAGAAUGAGGAGGCUGGACGAGGAGACUGAGGUGGAAAGGCUGGAAGAGGGAGGCUGGCUUCAUCUAGCCCUUCUAGUGUGAGGGAUCAGGCCUGAGAGUGAAGCCAAUGAGCAGCCAACCAAGUUUUGCAAGUGUUUGACGUCUGAAUAGGAGCCAGUUCAAAGUGAUCCACAGUAGACAGUCUGCCCCUGCGCUUUUCCAGGCCGUGGUUAUGAGACAUGAGAAGUGCACAUCCCCCAGAGCCCAGCUCCUCUGCCAAAAACAUGUCCUAAAUGAUGUCUCUGACAUGCGGCUAUUAGUCCUCGGCUUCCAUUACUACAGAGAUUAGCGCCUCUGCCAAACUUUUUAAGUAGCAAAGUGUGUGCCAGCAGUCACCUUGGAGAGCUGCAUUGUUACUGUAUCUCAUUCAAGAAUGUCUGCCACCAACUCCUGGAGAACAAGAAGGUAGUGCAGGUAAAAAAUGCCCCCUGCAGCUGAGCUUACAAACCUCCUUUUGUUCCUUUUCCUUCUAUCUUCCGGGGAGUCUAAUAUUCCUCUGCCACUGAACAGUGCAUUGGACAUGAAAUUGAGAACCUAAUGAUAUGACUUCACACAAAAUUCUAUCAUUUAUAAAUUAUAUAUGCCUCAGUUUCCAGAGCUUCCAGACGACUGCGGCAUUCACCGGCACAGGGAGAGAAGACCUGAGCUUUUCCACAGGGGAAAGUCAGGUCCAGAUGGCUUUUGGAGCUCACCACACCUCAGAAUUAGUCAAGGCUGUGGCAGUGAAGGAAAUCCCCGCUCUCCUGACAUCACAGCAAUUGCUCCGUUACCCCUCACACAGGGCUGCGGAAAUCUGAAGCUGACAAGCCUCCAUCCUCAGCAGGGGUGGGUGGUUGGUUCCAGAACUUUCAGAGAGAAGCUCUCCCUCAGGUUUGUCUGACGGAAGGGUUUGCCACACCAAAGAGAAGCUUGUGUUCCAUGUAAGCCUCUGUCUCAAAAGGGGGAAAGUAUGGAUCCAAUGGUUACGACAUGAGUUUGAGUCUCUUUCUGGACCAAGACGGCUGCAUCCUUCUACAGGAUGCUGAUCCCCUGCCAUUUUCUCAUUCAGAAUAUCCUGCUGUGGGAGGGAGGGGCAGGUGGUGACUUGAGAAAGGUGAGCUGCUUGCUCUGAGCCUCAGUAAAGACCUGGGGGGCGGUAAGGUUGGGGUUCCUGACCCCAAAGCACUUACUUGAUCCAGGGGUGGGGCUGUGCUCAGAGGGAGAGAACUUGCUCAAAGACAGGGCUGUGCCCAGGGAAUAGAGGGACAAGAUUAGGAAUUAGGUCAUGCUUAGGAGGCUGUGCCAUGUUCAGAGAUAAGACUGUGCCAAUUGGGGUGGUACAAUGAUUGAUGGGGGGCUGUGCUCAAGGGAUGGGACUGUGCUCUAGGGAAGAAGUUUUCUUAGGUGGCACAAUCACCAGGUUCCCAGGAGAACCUCAAAGGAACACUGAGAGGGCAGCCUCUUAAUUUGUCGUUGUCAUCGUCGUCGUCGUCAUCAUCAUCAUCAUCAUCCUGUGUUGUUGUUGUUAUUGUUACAGUUUUUCAAGACAAGGUUUCUCUAUGUAACACCCCUGGCUAUCCUGGACCUGGCUUUGUAGACCAGGCUGACCUCAAAGUCUCAGAUCUUGCAGAUAUUCUUCUGGAAUCCUGGGGUUAAAGAUGGGGUGAGGGCAGCCUCUUUAAACAGUGAGAUAAACCUGGGUCAAGCACUUAUGCUGAUCAGUAGUGAUAACUUGGGAGACUACCAAGGGGGAAAGCAGCUUGCCCACUGGGGAGAAAUUUCUAGGAGCAAGAUUUAUUCCAAGCAACGUGAUGUCAUGAAGACACGAGAGAGACAAAGGCUUCAGUUCCUGGGAAGGUAAGAAGGUGCUGGAUCCUUUUCAGGAACGUGCCCUUAAAUAAGUUCUUCUACCUGAUUCUUCCUCUCCAGGUGUGAUUGCCCUCCAAACUCAGAGGUCACAGCAAGCCCCCACUGGAUUCUUCCAUCCACCCUACCACCAUGCCAACCCAGCCCUCCUACAAGACCAGGGAGCACAUGCCCUGGCCACACCCCUGUCCUAUUCCAGUGUUUGGCUCAUGCAUACUGCCUGGGUCAGAAUUAUGCGCAGCACCAUGGGGCUUGGACCAGGCAAGCUGGAAGCCUGUCUGUAAUUCUUUGUUUAGGUCAAGCAAAGGAACACUCACGGGUAAUUCGCAGUGUCUGUACUCAGAGGUAUUGCCAAUCUCAUUAUCAUUAAUUUUUGCAUAUUUAACUACAGUUUUUAAUUAGAUGGUAUUUUAUUAUUCAUGCACAUAAUUUGUGUCGAAGUCUGACUGCUCCCUUGAAGGAAAAAAAGGGGGGGAGCGCAGGAGGCUGAUAUUUCUGAAUUGGAAGUCAGGGUUGGUGCUUCUAUUUGGCUGGAGAGCAGAGCGGCCUCUGAGUCUAUAAUGGUUCUCUUUUAAUUUUGCUAAUAGCUAUCAUGUUAUGUACCUUUAUAAAUUUGUUAAAUCCAGAGUGCUGGGAGUAGUCUCUGUACGCGGUGACUGUAAACAGCCCGCUCUGUUUGGUCUUCGCAUACAAACUGUUUGCUCAAGCUCCUUGAUGUAUUAUUAAAACGGGUAAUGGGCCCCU